GCGACUGUUCUUCACUUCUUUUCUCCUCUUCCCUGUCGCACUUUCCUCCUUCCAUCGCCGUCAGUUCGUCCGCUGCUCUUCUCUCCGUCCACCUUCGUCGGCUACAAUGGGGUUGGGUCGCUAGAUUCUCUUCUCCUGUCAUCGUUCUCUGUUCUGCAUCAACGAGAGCACGGCAGCAGUAGAACCAAAAGAGAAUUUGCAAUUUCAACAGCAUCAUUUUAGCCACUCGCAUGCACAGAUUAUACAAAGAGAAGAAGAAGAGAUCUCAGCUUAUAACCUUAAAUGUCCCACACACACGAACAGAGAAAAGAGAAACUCACACACCAACAAGAACCUAUAGUGACGCACGGACGAACGAAGGAGCAAGACUGUAAUUUCCGAUCACCCAAGCCUCUGGCGACAGCAAUAGAAGAGUAGGAGCUCAACACGUCAUAGUAGAUACAAGCUGGAGUAGGGGAGAGCAAAGGGAUCUUGCAGACGCACAGCAGUGACAAGUGAAUUCUAGCACCUGUCAAUGGCGGAUGAAUGAAGCAGUGAUGCUCACUCAUGCCAGCGACGACGAUGGUUGAAACGGAAGAGGAGACGGCAAAGGUACAGAGGAGGAAGAAGAAAUGAAAUAUCAGAGAACCCUUCUCUCGAUGUGUCUGGAAAACUCGAAGAGACCUUAUUUAGAUUCAAACUCGGACCAAAUGAGAGGAUUAUUUGUACAGUUUCCACUGCACUAACAUUCCUUCUUUUCAUAAUUAUCCCAAAAUUAAUAUAACUACAAUUAAAAACAAUAAUA